GGAGUGCUUGCACUCCUGAUGCUUAGCGGCGGACGGGUGAGUAAUACGUAGGUAACCUGCCCUUAAGACCGGGAUAACUCACGGAAACGUGGGCUAAUACCGGAUAGGCGAUUUCCUCGCAUGAGGGAAUCGGGAAAGGCGGAGCAAUCUGCCACUUAUGGAUGGACCUACGGCGCAUUAGCUAGUUGGUGGGGUAACGGCUCACCAAGGCGACGAUGCGUAGCCGACCUGAGAGGGUGAUCGGCCACACUGGGACUGAGACACGGCCCAGACUCCUACGGGAGGCAGCAGUAGGGAAUCUUCCGCAAUGGACGCAAGUCUGACGGAGCAACGCCGCGUGAGUGAUGAAGGUUUUCGGAUCGUAAAGCUCUGUUGCCAGGGAAGAACGCUAUGGAGAGUAACUGUUCCAUAGGUGACGGUACCUGAGAAGAAAGCCCCGGCUAACUACGUGCCAGCAGCCGCGGUAAUACGUAGGGGGCAAGCGUUGUCCGGAAUUAUUGGGCGUAAAGCGCGCGCAGGCGGUCAUGUAAGUCUGGUGUUUAAACCCGGGGCUCAACUCCGGGUCGCAUCGGAAACUGUGUGACUUGAGUGCAGAAGAGGAAAGUGGAAUUCCACGUGUAGCGGUGAAAUGCGUAGAGAUGUGGAGGAACACCAGUGGCGAAGGCGACUUUCUGGGCUGUAACUGACGCUGAGGCGCGAAAG
rnacentral:rRNA from 1 species